rnacentral:rRNA from 1 species
GCGUUAUCCGGAUUCACUGGGUUUAAAGGGUGCGUAGGCGGGUAGGUAAGUCAGUGGUGAAAUCUCGGAGCUUAACUCCGAAACUGCCAUUGAUACUAUCUAUCUUGAAUAUUGUUGAGGUUUGCGGAAUAUGUCAUGUAGCGGUGAAAUGCAUAGAUAUGACAUAGAACACCUAUUGCGAAGGCAGCAGGCUAAACAUAUAUUGACGCUGAGGCACGAAAGCGUG